GAAUGCAAGGACAAUCUGGCUGUGACAUCUGCUACUCUAUCGAUGACUAGGGUUGAUAUGACUGAUCUGGCUGUUAUAUGCAUAUCCCCUUUCUCCUUUGCCAUUCCAUGUGCAUCCCUACUGAAGCUACAUGCUCAGUUGAAGAGGUCAACCUUCCCUAAUAGAGGAGGACCAUUCUUCAGUCAAGGGUAUACGAGUAGCUGUGCUCUCCUGUUAGAACCUACAAACAAGCUCUCAAAAAGACUUAGAGUGCCUGAGAUAUGCUAAGUAUGGUGUCAGGCACCAGGUAUGGUGUUGUGG
rnacentral:snRNA from 1 species